rnacentral:rRNA from 1 species
UACGUAGGGUGCAAGCGUUAAUCGGAAUUACUGGGCGUAAAGCGUGCGCAGGCGGUGAUGUAAGACAGUUGUGAAAUCCCCGGGCUCAACCUGGGAACUGCAUCUGUGACUGCAUCGCUGGAGUGCGGCAGAGGGGGAUGGAAUUCCGCGUGUAGCAGUGAAAUGCGUAGAUAUGCGGAGGAACACCGAUGGCGAAGGCAAUCCCCUGGGCCUGCACUGACACUGAGGCACGAAAGCGUGGGGAGCAAACAGG